GAUCUCUUUCAGGGAAGAGGCUCCUGUUGAUUGAUACAGAUGUAGGGCAAAGGCAGACCCACAAGUGCAUGGGUCAAGAAGUACAAGAAAAGAAAGAUAUGUUCUGAUUCCAGGAGCAUAUAGCACCUUAUCCUGACCAGGGUGGUGAGAGAACACUAUCUGAGGCAGCUUGAAGAACUUCCUCACUGGGAACAGUUCCUUUCUGUUCUGGCAAGAUCCAAGUGACCAGGGCCUUGUGUGUCUGGGUGAAGAUCAGCCACCCAGGAUAUGGACAGAGAGCUGGGCACCAUGCUGUACCUGCAACAGAAGUGUGACCCACACAACAACCUGUAAUAAAACUUUCUGCAAAGGAAUGAUGAUUUCUUUUAAAAUAAAUGUUAUCUGCUUAA
rnacentral:lncRNA from 1 species